ACGUAGGUGGCAAGCGUUGUCCGGAUUUAUUGGGCGUAAAGCGAGCGCAGGCGGUUUCUUAAGUCUGAUGUGAAAGCCCCCGGCUCAACCGGGGAGGGUCAUUGGAAACUGGGAGACUUGAGUGCAGAAGAGGAGAGUGGAAUUCCAUGUGUAGCGGUGAAAUGCGUAGAUAUAUGGAGGAACACCAGUGGCGAAGGCGGCUCUCUGGUCUGUAACUGACGCUGAGGCUCGAAAGCGUGGGGAGCGAACAG
rnacentral:rRNA from 1 species